UGUAGCUCAAUGGUAGAGCAUUUGCCUAGCAUGCAUGAGGCCCUGGGUUUAAUCCCCAGUA
rnacentral:tRNA from 1 species